UUCCAGGGAUGGGAAUCGAACCCACAGUGUUCCGCUUACCGCAGAUGCCAUGUCCACUAGGCUACCCUGGA
rnacentral:tRNA from 1 species